rnacentral:misc_RNA from 1 species
GAUGAAGAACGUAGCGAAAUGCGAUAAGUAAUGUGAAUUGCAGAAUUCAGUGAAUCAUCGAAUCUUUGAACGCACAUUGCGCCCGCCAGUAUUCUGGCGGGCAUGCCUGUUCGAUCGUCAUUACAACCCUCAGGCCCCCGGGCCUGGCGUUGGGGAUCGGCGGAGCCCCCCGUGGGCACACGCCGUCCCCCAAAUACAGUGGCGGUCCCGCCGCAGCUUCCAUCGCGUAGUAGCUAACACCUCGCGACUGGAGAGCGGCGCGGCCACGCCGUAAAACACCCAACUCUUCUGAAGUUGACCUCGAAUCAGGUAGGAAUACCCGCUGAACUUAAGCAUAUCAAUAAGCGGAGGA